rnacentral:rRNA from 1 species
GGUAUAAAUUAAUUAAUAAUGUUUAAUAAAAAUAAUUUUAAAUUUUAAAAAUUAAUAUAUUUUAAUUGGGGGGUUAAAGUAUAAUUAAUAAAAAAAAUUAUAAAUUUUAUAGGGAAUUAGUAUUGUGAAAGAAUUUUGAAAUAUUUGAAAAUAAAUUUAUUUAUAAGUAAUUUUAAUUUAAUGUAUCUUGUGUAUCAGAGUUUAUUAAAUAAAAUUUUUUGUAGUAAAAAAUUCUCGAAUUUAAGAGAGAUAAUUAAUUAUAAAAGUUAUUGUUGUAUAAAUAUUUUAAAUAAUUAAUUUGAAAUGAAAUGUUAAUCGUUCUUAAAAAUAUCUAGUUUUUUUAGAAAAAAAUUUAAUUUUAAAUUUAUUAAAAUUAUUAAAAUUAAUUAUAUUUAAUAAAAUAUUUAGUAAAUUUUAUAUUUUAAGGGAUAAGCUUUAAAUUAAAUUAAAUAUAAUAAAUAAAAAUUAAAUUUUGAAAUUUUUAUAAUUUAUAUUGUUAAUAAAUUAUAAUUUAUUAUAAAUAAUUUCAAAUAUAAUAAAAUUUAAUAAAAUAAUUUAUUUUAUUUAUAAAAAGAAAAUUUUAAAUAAGAAAAAAAUUAAUAUAAUGAUAAAAUUAGUAUAUAAAAAUUAAAAUUAAUGUAAUUAAUUUAAUAAAGUUAUUUAUAAGGAAUUCGGCAAAUAAAAUUAUAAGUAAAAAUACUCACUUGUUUAUCAAAAACAUGUCUUUUUGUAAAUAAUAUAAAGUCUAAUCUGCCCACUGAUAUUAAUUGAAGGGCUGCAGUAUAUUGACUGUACAAAGGUAGCAUAAUCAUUAGUCAUUUAAUUGAUGACUUGUAUGAAAGAUUGGAUGAAGUAUUAGCUGUCUUGGAAAUAAAUUAUAGAAUUUAAUUUUUAAAUUAAAAAGUUUAAAUAUUUUAAAAAGACGAGAAGACCCUAUAGAGUUUUAUAAUUAAUAUUUUUAUAAAAAAUAAAUAAAUUAAAAAUUUUUAAAUAUUAUUGAUUAUUUUAUUGGGGUGAUAGAAAAAUAAAAAUAACUUUUUUUAUUGAGUUUCAUAGAUAAGUGAGUAAAUGAUCCAAUUUUAUUGAUUAUAAGAAAAAAUUACCUUAGGGAUAACAGCGUUAUUUAUUUUUUUAGUUCAUAUAAAAAUUUAAGUUUGCGACCUCGAUGUUGGAUUAAGAUAAAAAUUAAAUGCAGAAGUUUAAAUUUUUGAUCUGUUCGAUCAUUAAAAUCUUACAUGAUCUGAGUUCAGACCGGUGUAAGCCAGGUUGGUUUCUAUCUUUUAUCAAAUAAAAUAUUUUAGUACGAAAGGAUUGAAUAUUUAAAUUAAAUUUAUUAAUUUUUUUGAAUUUUAUUAAAUAUUAUAUAUAUAUAUAUAUAUAUAUUAUAAU